UUUUUUUUUUAAUUUAAUAUAGAACACAAUAUGGAAAAAGCAAUCCUAUGCGAGCAGAUCUCCAAACUAAAAGCUCACAACUCAGAGCUGAUGAAGUUAGCAGGACAGGUUCAAUCUAAAAAACAGGAUGCAGAAGGUGAACAACGCAGACUAGAAAGAGAUCAAUAUAGACAUUUACGAGAGUUACACCAGUUGAAGCGAUGCAUCCAGGAAUCAGCCAAUCCUCACAGUUGAAUUUCAACAUUAAUGUGUUUAUAAGGAAUUUAUGUUUAAGUAUACACACUAAGUGUCUGUUGAAUGACAGAAAAUGUGAUGAAAUUAAAAGGACAGACAGUAAAGAAGAAAAAUGCGGAGAUAAGAUGAACGAUUGCAAAAGGUGGAUGAAGAAAUUCAAGUUCAAAUUGAGGAAAAAUAGAUAAAAAUUACGAAUGAAGAUAGAGCUAUCAGUUUUAUAAUAUCAAAGCUUAUAAUUUGAAUUUAUCAUUUAAAUGAAAAUUUGAAUGAGUGGACCAAAUCUUAAAAAUAGACUUCAGUUGUAUUCAACUUGAAUGAUCAAAUUAGAUAGAUAGAUUGGAUUGGGAGGUGUGGGAGGAGGGGCUAUAGCAUCAGAUCAUUUGGUUGUCAAAUAAGGGUCAGCUAGGAAAUUGAUGCUUUCUCGUAUGUUUUGUCUUUCACUUACUGUUUGCCUUCAUAUAUACCUAAUUCAAAAGCAAGUAACCACAGGGCUCUUCACUCAUAUACAGAAUCUCAGCAGUUAAAUUCUAUGACUCGCAUGAGUGUACUCCUCAGUGUGGUUACAACUUGAUGCAACCCAAUUUGUAGAGGGCGCUAAGCUUCACCAAGUUGUAGAGGGCACUAUUCUUUUGAUAAGAACAAGUGUUGAUUGUUUGGCUUAGAGUCAGUACACUCAGUUAUUUUUAUCUUGUAUUGUACAGUAUAUUGAACGUCAAUUGUCAUUAGUACAAUUUAUGUAAAGUGGAGAUAUCGUGUAAUUAUUGUUACUAUUUAUUUUACUGUAGGCUGUCAUUUUAGGAUAUGAGCAAAGGUAGCUAUGGUGAAAUGUUAGCUAAAUUUGCGCAGCAUCAUUGACAGGGGAAAGCGUUGAUGAUUUCCACUCUUAAACUUAAAACAGUUCAUUACACUAAAAGUUUGAUACUUAUCAUUCUUCUCAUAUGUCUUUUUGAUCAAUUCUAUGUCUGAAUCAUAAAAAUUUCAUUUUGAGAAGUACAGCUCAUUUUAGCUAAUGUACCUUACUAGUACCACAGUCAUUUUUUUCAUAACAUCACAUUCUGUUUUUUUCGUAAUAUUUUUCCCCACUUCUUGGCAACAGUCUGUAGUAAAUCAAUUGCACCCAUUUCCAACAUAAAACAUGAAAUGUAACGAUACAAUACUUGAUAAUAUAUCAAUAAAAUGUUUUGUGUUUUUGUAAA